rnacentral:rRNA from 2 species
AUGAGUGGAGCUUGCUCCAUGAUUCAGCGGCGGACGGGUGAGUAAUGCCUAGGAAUCUGCCUGGUAGUGGGGGACAACGUUUCGAAAGGAACGCUAAUACCGCAUACGUCCUACGGGAGAAAGUGGGGGAUCUUCGGACCUCACGCUAUCAGAUGAGCCUAGGUCGGAUUAGCUAGUUGGUGAGGUAAAGGCUCACCAAGGCGACGAUCCGUAACUGGUCUGAGAGGAUGAUCAGUCACACUGGAACUGAGACACGGUCCAGACUCCUACGGGAGGCAGCAGUGGGGAAUAUUGGACAAUGGGCGAAAGCCUGAUCCAGCCAUGCCGCGUGUGUGAAGAAGGUCGUCGGAUUGUAAAGCAC